rnacentral:lncRNA from 1 species
UAUAUGAAUAAAGAUCAAAUUCUUAUCUGGAUAGCAGCAAAAUAGGAGAUCAAAUCUCUAAAAAUCUGAAAUUAACCUUCGCGGAGGUCUGGAUGUGCAAACCCUCUACUUCGUAUGUACGUCAGACAACACAAGAAAGCAGAAUGAACUUCGAUCAAAUCACCUUUACAAUCCAACCAAAUAAGGAAGGAGAGGUGCUGAUAUAAUGCCUCACACCAGCAAGAAGAAUGCCCAAGGUGGGCCCAUGGCA